AAAAGAAUUGAGAGUUAAUGCAGCAGAAGCUACCAAAGGUGUUCUAGUUCCAACAGACAUUGAUGAAGUAAAAGUUGAACAACAAGCAGAGGGAUCUGAUGGAGCCACUUAUUCUGUCAAGGCAUCUUUGUGCUGUGACUAUAAGCACGAGCUUAUCUCUGAUUUACGUCAAGCUCUGGAUACUCUCCCCCUAAAAACUCUGAGGGCAGAGAUUGCUACGCUAGGGAGCAGAAUGGUUAGCGUUUUCGUGAUUACUGAGGGCAAUGAAGGGAAUACUGAGG
rnacentral:misc_RNA from 1 species